rnacentral:rRNA from 1 species
UACGGGGGGAGCAAACGUUGUUCGGAAUCACUGGGCGUAAAGGGCGUGUAGGCGGCUGGAUAAGUGGGAUGUUAAAUCCCCCGGCUCAACCGGGGACCUGCAUCUCAUACUGUUCAGCUCGAGCACAUCAGAGGAGACUGGAAUUCCCGGUGUAGCGGUGAAAUGCGUAGAUAUCGGGAGGAAUACCAGUGGCGAAGGCGGCGACCUGGGCCAAUACUGACGCUGAGGUGCGAAAGCGUGGGGAGCAAACAGG